rnacentral:rRNA from 1 species
UCCGUAGGUGAACCUGCGGAAGGAUCAUUAUUGAAAUAAACCUGAUGGGUUGUUGCUGGUUCUCUAGGGAGCAUGUGCACACCUUGUCAUCUUUAUAUCUCCACCUGUGCACUUUUUGUAGACCUUUUCAGGUCUAUGUUGCCUCAUUUUACCCCAAUGGUAUGUCAAUAGAAUGUUGUGCCUAUAUAUAAUAUAUACAACUUUCAGCAACGGAUCUCUUGGCUCUCGCAUCGAUGAAGAACGCAGCGAAAUGCGAUAAGUAAUGUGAAUUGCAGAAUUCAGUGAAUCAUCGAAUCUUUGAACGCACCUUGCGCUCCUUGGUAUUCCGAGGAGCAUGCCUGUUUGAGUGUCAUUAAUAUAAUCAACCUUCUCUUGUUUUGAGAAUGGUUUGGAUGUGGGGGGUUUGCUGGCCUCUCUCAAAAGGUUCAGCUCCCCUGAAAUGCAUUAGCAGAACAACCUUUGCUCAUUGGUGUGAUAACUAUCUACGCUUAUGAAUAUGAGGGGCAGUUCAGCUUUCUAACGGUCUUUGGACAAUUCAUCAUUAAUGUGACCUCAAAUCAGGUAGGACUACCCGCUGAACUUAAGCAUAUCAAUAAGCGGAGGA